rnacentral:rRNA from 1 species
GACGAACGCUGGCGGCGUGCUUAACACAUGCAAGUCGAACGGAAAGGCCCUGCUUUUGUGGGGUGCUCGAGUGGCGAACGGGUGAGUAACACGUGAGUAACCUGCCCUUGACUUUGGGAUAACUUCAGGAAACUGGGGCUAAUACCGGCUAGGAGCUCCUGCUGCAUGGUGGGGGUUGGAAAGUUUCGGCGGUUGGGGAUGGACUCGCGGCUUAUCAGCUUGUUGGUGGGGUAGUGGCUUACCAAGGCUUUGACGGGUAGCCGGCCUGAGAGGGUGACCGGCCACAUUGGGACUGAGAUACGGCCCAGACUCCUACGGGAGGCAGCAGUGGGGAAUAUUGCACAAGGGGCGGAAGCCUGAUGCAGCAACGCCGCGUGCGGGAUGACGGCCUUCGGGUUGUAAACCGCUUUCGCCUGUGACGAAGCGUGAGUGACGGUAAUGGGUAAAGAAGCACCGGCUAACUACGUG